rnacentral:rRNA from 1 species
UACGGGGGGCAAGCGUUGUUCGGAAUUACUGGGCGUAAAGGGCUCGUAGGCGGCCCUCUCAGUCGGAUGUGAAAUCCCCAGGCUUAACCUGGGAACGGCAUCCGAUACUGGAGGGCUUGAAUUCGGGAGAGGGAUGCAGAAUUCCAGGUGUAGCGGUGAAAUGCGUAGAUAUCUGGAGGAAUACCGGUGGCGAAGGCGGCAUCCUGGACCGAGAUUGACGCUGAGGAGCGAAAGCUAGGGGAGCAAACGGGG